ACUGAGGUGAACUUUAGCGGGGAGCUUUGUCGGCGCUGAAGGAGCCUUAGAGUGGUUUUCACAUUUUCCUGUGAGACGCCACGCCACUGCCAAAUGCACCUGUCGUAGUUAAACUCCUACCUUUAAUGUAAUGUUUGAGGCCUACUCAAUAUCCAAAAAACAUUUUCUUAAAAUGGCUUCUGUUACUCCGGUGUAUGUACGCUAUUGCCCAUAGAUUUCUAGAAGAUUCCGAUGAAUAUCUUGUCAUUUUUUUUUCAUACUGAAGUGAGUUCAACGUAGUGUUGAUUGGUAGUUAGUUGGCUAUUCCUGAAACUACAGUCUGCCUGAGCCUUCUGGACCACUUUCCGCAGGGCUCUGUGGUGAGGUCGGAGCGCGCCUCGCCUGUGAUGCUGCUCUUGGACAGGCUUUGUACCGUUGGCCUUCGCCAGAAUUGUUGGAACAUGGAUGACUAUCUUCAAGUUACUGUAACACAAAAUCUCAAGCCAAAAAGUAACAUAGGAAUAAUACAGACUGGAUCAUUUGAUUAGAUUUUACUGAGUUUGAUAUUCAGAAGAGUAUAGGGGAUCGAACUCGGGACCUUGUGCUUGCGAGGCCGGUGCCGGAACCACUGAGCUAAAUCCCAGCUAAAUCCCCGAGCCUAUAAUUAUGGAAAAAUACACCAUUUGAUGAACAAUGAAAGCAAAUAUAUCACUAAUAAAUACUAUUUGAAGGAUUUUUUUUUUGUGCAAAAGUUAUUCUGGGAAAGGAAGAUGGUAUCUGAAAAGUAGUAAAACGUUUCCAGAGCCAUUUUAACUACACAGUGUUUUUCACAUUUGAAUAGACUGCAUCAACAUGAAUUCUUUAUAAGGACCUUAAAAACAAACUUUGCCAAGUCUCAGAAUACAGAAGUGAAUUCACAUCCCAAUACUCAGCUGCCUCAUGAAUAAAGGAGAGCUUGUGCCUGGCACUUUGAAGCUGUAGCUGUUAAACCAUACAGAAUAUUUACCUCAAUAAAUCAUUAUAAGAAACUAAGGUACAAUUAUACCCACAGAGAAAAAGAAUUCGAAACACUGAUUUAUGUGUUUCAGUGGCUAUUCCCUUUCCCACCAUGUUUUGAAUUUUAUGCAUGUUUGUCAUCUUUGGCUGCUCCUGUGUAUCUUUAAAGUAAUGGGUUCUGCUUUUUUUUAACAUUCCUCAUUAAGUUUGUUAUUUUUCUUUGACACACAGACAUGAUUUGCAUAGUGUACUAAGUUGUACAUUUAAAAUUAACUAUCUCAUUUCUUAUGACUGAAACAAAAA